rnacentral:rRNA from 1 species
AUACGUAGGGUGCGAGCGUUGUCCGGAAUUACUGGGCGCAAAGAGCUCGUAGGUGGUUUGUCGCGUCGUCUGUGAAAUUCCGGGGCUUAACUCCGGGCGUGCAGGCGAUACGGGCAUAACUUGAGUACUGUAGGGGAGACUGGAAUUCCUGGUGUAGCGGUGAAAUGCGCAGAUAUCAGGAGGAACACCGGUGGCGAAGGCGGGUCUCUGGGCAGUAACUGACGCUGAGGAGCGAAAGCAUGGGUAGCGAACAGGAUUAGAUACCCUGGUAGUCCAUGCCGUAAACGGUGGGCGCUAGGUGUAGGGGUCUUCCACGACUUCUGUGCCGUAGCUAACGCAUUAAGCGCCCCGCCUGGGGAGUACGGCCGCAAGGCUAAAACUCAAAUGAAUUGGCGGGG